GGCUGGUCCGGAGGUAGACAGUUAUUUCACAGUCAGUCACAGACCGAACUCCUUGUUCUACUCUUUCCUCCCUUCUCACUACUGCACUUGACUAGUCCUAA
ensembl:Y_RNA Y_RNA Y RNA